rfam:Rattus norvegicus strain BN; Sprague-Dawley chromosome 4 CRA_213000034388113, whole genome shotgun sequence.
CCCUCGGCGGCGCCCGGGCUGUCCUCCUAAAAUACUAGUAGAAGUAUAAAUGGCCCGGGAGUGUGCAGGGACCGGGCCCACGUGACCGCUCCACGAAGGCCACCGG